CCUACGGGCGGCAGCAGUGAGGAAUAUUGGUCAAUGGCCGGAAGGCUGAACCAGCCAUGCCGCGUGAAGGUCAGUGCCCUAUGGGCGUUAAACUUCUUUUGUGCGGGAGCAAUAAUGGUCACGUGUGGCCAGACGAGAGUACCGUACGAAUAAGCAUCGGCUAACCCCGUGCCAGCAGCCGCGGUUAUACGGGGGAUGCAAGCGUUAUCCGGAUUUAUUGGGGUUAAAGGGUGCGUAGGCUGUGAGGUAAGUCAGCGGUGAAAUGCCCCCGCUCAACGGGGUGACGUGCCAUUGAUACUGCCUUGCUGGAAUGCGGAUGCCGUGGGAGGAAUGUGUGGUGUAGCGGUGAAAUGCAUAGAUAUCACACAGAACACCGAUUGCGAAGGCAUCUCACGAAUCCGCGAUUGACGCUGAUGCACGAAAGCGUGGGUAUCAAACAGGAUUAGAUACCCCUGUAGUC
rnacentral:rRNA from 1 species